rnacentral:rRNA from 1 species
AGAGUUUGAUCCUGGCUCAGGAUGAACGCUAGCGGCAGGCUUAACACAUGCAAGUCGAGGGGUAACGGGGAAGCUUGCUUCCGCCGACGACCGGCGCACGGGUGCGUAACGCGUAUACAAUCUACCUUGUACUGGGGUAUAGCCUUUAGAAAUGAAGAUUAAUCCCCCAUAGUCUCUUAGAGUGGCAUCACUUCUAGAGUAAAGGUUACGGUAUAAGAUGAGUAUGCGUUCUAUUAGUUUGUUGGUGUGGUAACGGCACACCAAGACUACGAUAGAUAGGGGCCCUGAGAGGGGGAUCCCCCACACUGGUACUGAGACACGGACCAGACUCCUACGGGAGGCAGCAGUGAGGAAUAUUGAACAAUGGAGGCAACUCUGAUCCAGCCAUGCCGCGUGCAGGAAGACUGCCCUAUGGGUUGUAAACUGCUUUUAUACAGGAAGAAACACCUCUACGUGUAGAGGCUUGACGGUACUGUAAGAAUAAGGAUCGGCUAACUCCGUGCCAGCAGCCGCGGUAAUACGGAGGAUCCAAGCGUUAUCCGGAAUCAUUGGGUUUAAAGGGUCCGUAGGUGGAUAACUAAGUCAGAGGUGAAAUCUUGCAGCUCAACUGUAAAAUUGCCUUUGAAACUGGUUAUCUUGAGUUAUUAUGAAGUAGUUAGAAUAUGUAGUGUAGCGGUGAAAUGCAUAGAUGUUACAUAGAAUACCAAUUGCGAAGGCAGAUUACUAAUAAUUAACUGACACUGAUGGACGAAAGCGUGGGUAGCGAACAGGAUUAGAUACCCUGGUAGUCCACGCCGUAAACGAUGGUUACUAGCUGUUUGGACUUCGGUCUGAGUGGCUAAGCGAAAGUGAUAAGUAACCCACCUGGGGAGUACGUUCGCAAGAAUGAAACUCAAAGGAAUUGACGGGGGCCCGCACAAGCGGUGGAGCAUGUGGUUUAAUUCGAUGAUACGCGAGGAACCUUACCAGGGCUUAAAUGUAAGUUGCAUUAGCUAGAGAUAGCUAUUUCUUCGGACCACUUACAAGGUGCUGCAUGGUUGUCGUCAGCUCGUGCCGUGUGGUGUCAGGUUAAGUCCUAUAACGAGCGCAACCCCUGUUGUUAGUUGCCAGCGAGUCAUGUCGGGAACUCUAACAAGACUGCCAGUGCAAACUGUGAGGAAGGUGGGGAUGACGUCAAAUCAUCACGGCCCUUACGUCCUGGGCUACACACGUGCUACAAUGGUAGGUACAGAGAGCAGCCACUGCGCGAGCAGGAGCGAAUCUAUAAAACCUAUCACAGUUCGGAUCGGAGUCUGCAACUCGACUCCGUGAAGCUGGAAUCGCUAGUAAUCGGAUAUCAGCCAUGAUCCGGUGAAUACGUUCCCGGGCCUUGUACACACCGCCCGUCAAGCCAUGGAAGUUGGAAGUGCCUGAAGUCCGUCACCGCAAGGAGCGGCCUAGGGUAAAGUCGAUAACUAGGGCUAAGUCGUAACAAGGUA